CAACAAUAUACCUGGACUGUUAUGCCUCAGGGAGCUCAGAACUCUCCCACACAGUUUGCUCAUGCCAUGUCUCUAGUUUUGGAUCCCUGGCAGAAAUCUCAUCUGGAUGUUAUUCUACUUCAAUAUGUUGAUGACCUCCUUCUCUGUGCUCCUAAUUUGCUUAUUGCAGAGCGUGACUCAGAAGAUCUCCUAUGUUUCCUCGCUGCUGCAGGUUGCAAAACUUCCAAAUCCAAGCUGCAAUGGUGCCGGCCCUCUGUGGUCUUCUUGGGACAUUGUCUUUCCCAUGGCACCAGACAUCUAACUUCUCAGCGUGUACAAGCUAUUUUGCAACUCCCAUUACCUGCAACACAUCAGACUCUUCAUGCCUUCUUGGGUCUUAUCACAUACUGCAGGUCCUGGAUACCCGAAGCAUCAAAGCUCAUGCAGCCACUCUAUGAUGCCCUCAGGAGUGAGCCCUUUCACCUCACUGAAGAAACUAUCAUCUGUUUCCACAAUCUGAAAAGAGCUAUUGCUUCUGCACCUGCCUUGGGCCUACCCAACUACCAACUUCCUUUCAAUCUGUUUGUCUCUGAAAAAUCAGGACAUGCUUCCGGAGUCCUCACCCAGAAACAUGGAUCAAGACAACGACCUAUUGGCUAUUUUUCCUGCAUGCUUGACCCUGUUGCGAGAGGUAGUCCCUUUUGCCUCAGAGCGGUGUUUGCCGCCAGCGCCCUCCUGGACAAGACCAAUGAUUUUGUUCUUGGCCACCACCUCACAGUGUUGGCCCCUCAUGACAUUACUGCAAUCCUGCAACAAACUCAACCUAAGCACCUUUCUUCUCAAUGUUACCUUCGUCUACAAACAUCCUUACUGUUACCUGACAAUGUGAAACUUCAGCGAUGUCUCUCCCUGUACCCGGCCACUCUUCUGCCACUUCCCAAGGGGGGAAUUGUGCAUUACUGGUAUAGCCUGGACAUCAACCCAGAGGUUUGAGCAAUUGUGCAUUACUGGUAUAGCCUGGACAUCAACCCAGAGGUUUGAGCAGAUUUGCAGCUGCCUGCACUUGCACCCCCACAUAAUGAACAAUCAGAGGCCCUACUUCACUGCACCUUAUGGUUUAAAGACAGACCAGGCCCUGAUAUGAACUAUGAGGAAGAAUUAUUCCAGCUCAAGGAAAUUCCAAUUACCCUGACUGACUUGUUAUGGGACCCCACAGGUACCAUGCUCAUCUUAGUCCAUCUUCCAGAGAACAUGACACAUCUCUACCAUCAUUGGGAAACAGCUAUCCCACACAUAUCUCUCACCAGAUCCUCUGACACCUCAUGGAAAGACCUAGG